GAGAGAGUUCAAGAGUACGUGAAACCGUUCAGGGGUAAACCUGAGAAACCCAAAAGAUCGAAUGGGGAGAUUCAUCGUCAGCUCAUUUUAUAUAUAUGCUAGUUAUGAUAUGGGUUACUACUUGUAGUAUUGCCUGUACAUUCUUGUAUAUUUAAGUGUAAGGUGUUGUCGGCGUGCACUUCUCCCCUAGUAGGACGUCGCGACCCGUUGAGUUAUGUUGGUCUACGGCCCAAGUAGAAGCUUUUAAUGAAUUUUAUUCAUUGAAAACUCUUGGUGUUACCUGACUGGCGCUCGUCGGUAUUCGUAUGGUAUUGAGCCGCAAAUAUUAUAUGCGUCCAUAUCUGUCGCAAGCGAGGUUAGUUACCGAUAGUGCGGACCUAGUGCCGUCGUUGGUGCUAACCAGCUGUUGGUUGUACAGAAUUCUAGGACUGGCUCGUUGAAAUACCGGUCAGCGAUGCUACUGCUUUGGGUACUUUCAGGACCCGUCUUGAAACACGGACCAAGGAGUCUAACAUGUACGCGAGUCAUUGGGAUUUUUAUAAAUUAAACCUAAAGGCGUAAUGAAAGUAAAGGUCGCCCUUGUGUCGGCUAAGGGAGGAUGAGCUGUAUUUUUUGUUAAAAAUUAAGACAGCUUCGCACUCUCGGGGCGUCUCAUUCUCAUUGCGAGAA
rnacentral:rRNA from 1 species